CCCUUAGAUGUUCUGGGCUGCACGCGCGCUACACUGAUGCGUUCAACGAGUUUAUGACCUUGCCCGAUAGGGUUGGGUAAUCUUUUUAAAUCGCAUCGUGAUGGGGAUAGAUUAUUGCAAUUAUUAAUCUUCAACGAGGAAUUCCUAGUAAACGCAAGUCAUCAGCUUGCAUUGAUUACGUCCCUGCCCUUUGUACACACCGCCCGUCGCACCUACCGAUUGAAUGGUCCGGUGAAAUCUCGGGACGGCGGCUCGGUCGCUUGCGUCCGACUGCUGAAACUUGAUUAAACCAUAUCAUUUAGAGGAAGGUGAAGUCGUAACA
rnacentral:rRNA from 1 species